ACUGGGAUAACUUCGGGAAACCGGAGCUAAUACCGGAUAACAUAUUGAACCGCAUGGUUCAAUAGUGAAAGGCGGCUUUGCUGUCACUUAUAGAUGGAUCCGCGCCGUAUUAGCUAGUUGGUAAGGUAACGGCUUACCAAGGCAACGAUACGUAGCCGACCUGAGAGGGUGAUCGGCCACACUGGAACUGAGACACGGUCCAGACUCCUACGGGAGGCAGCAGUAGGGAAUCUUCCGCAAUGGGCGAAAGCCUGACGGAGCAACGCCGCGUGAGUGAUGAAGGUCUUCGGAUCGUAAAACUCUGUUAUCAGGGAAGAACAAAUGUGUAAGUAACUGUGCACAUCUUGACGGUACCUGAUCAGAAAGCCACGGCUAACUACGUGCCAGCAGCCGCGGUAAUACGUAGGUGGCAAGCGUUAUCCGGAAUUAUUGGGCGUAAAGCGCGCGUAGGCGGUUUUUUAAGUCUGAUGUGAAAGCCCACGGCUCAACCGUGGAGGGUCAUUGGAAACUGGAAAACUUGAGUGCAGAAGAGGAAAGUGGAAUUCCAUGUGUAGCGGUGAAAUGCGCAGAGAUAUGGAGGAACACCAGUGGCGAAGGCGACUUUCUGGUCUGUAACUGACGCUGAUGUGCGAAAGCGUGGGGAUCAAACAGGAUUAGAUACCCUGGUAGUCCACGCCGUAAACGAUGAGUGCUAAGUGUUAGGGGGUUUCC
rnacentral:rRNA from 1 species